UCCGUAGGUGAACCUGCGGAAGGAUCAUUCGCACGCGUCCAAUCAAUACCACUGUGAAAUCUUGGCGUGAGGUUCGGCUUGAGGAUGGAGAUUGCAUCAAUGCCCUCUAGCUGAAGCUCAAAGGCGACUGGGCUGGAUGGGUGCUUGCCACCUCCUUUCAGUCUUUGUCGUCACCAACCUUUUGCUUUCAGCUUGCAUCUGCGUUUUUACUUUCUGAAGUGGUUGCCCACCUUCUUCUUACAACUUUCAGUGAUCGAUGUCUCGGCUCGAGCAAUGAUGAAGGGCGCAGCGAAGUGUGAUAAGCAUUGUGAAUUGCAGGAUUCCGUGAGCCAAUAGGGACUUGAACGUACACUGCGCUUUCGGGAUAUCCCUGAAAGCAUGCCUGCUUCAGUGUCCAUGUCAUUCAUUCCGGCAACAUGCCCUCUUUGUUGUGGUACCGUUGCCUGCGUGUGCUUGUGCGUUAGGGUGCUGUGCUGCCUCUGACGCGCUGAACCCAUGGGGAUUCCUCUUUGGCGCACAACUUGUUAAGCAUCUUGGAUGUAUUCAGUUGUCGUGCUCUUGGGGCAAGCCUCCUGAUGUAGUGCGGAUCGCACAUCUGAAGACAUGAAGUUAGGUCAGCAAACCCGCUGAAUUUAAGCAUAUCAAUA
rnacentral:rRNA from 1 species